AGUGAACGCUGGCGGUAGGCCUAACACAUGCAAGUCGAACGGCAGCACAGUAAGAGCUUGCUCUUACGGGUGGCGAGUGGCGGACGGGUGAGGAAUACAUCGGAAUCUACUUUUUCGUGGGGGAUAACGUAGGGAAACUUACGCUAAUACCGCAUACGACCUACGGGUGAAAGCAGGGGAUCUUCGGACCUUGCGCGAUUGAAUGAGCCGAUGUCGGAUUAGCUAGUUGGCGGGGUAAAGGCCCACCAAGGCGACGAUCCGUAGCUGGUCUGAGAGGAUGAUCAGCCACACUGGAACUGAGACACGGUCCAGACUCCUACGGGAGGCAGCAGUGGGGAAUAUUGGACAAUGGGCGCAAGCCUGAUCCAGCCAUACCGCGUGGGUGAAGAAGGCCUUCGGGUUGAAAAGCCCUUUUGUUGGGAAAGAAAAGCAGCAGGUUAAUACCCCGCUGUCCUGACGGUACCCAAAGAAUAAGCACCGGCUAACUUCGUG
rnacentral:rRNA from 1 species